GAACACUGCUACUGCUCCGCCCUGUAACUAGAAAUGAGCAAGUGACUCUCUGCUUGUGUGUGUCUCCUCCUCCCCGCCUCAGUGGGAACCAGCAAACUCUUGCUGACAGAGCACUGGAGAGAGAGUCUGCUAAGUUUUAAAAGAGGUGGCCAGGGUAAAACAGCUCCCUGUGGACGCUGCCCAUCUGGAAAAGGCCCGAGACCGGAAACACUGUUGGGAAGACGGGCAUCCAAGAAGCUGGGCUUGAGCAGGAAAGUGGCUUGGGCUCGCCCAGUAUUCAAAUACAAGACUCAGUGCAACAUGUCACCUCUCUGAGAGCCAAUGUUCCCAUCUGUGAAAGAAGGACGAUGUAUCAACCCUGCAGGCAGGUGGUGCUAUAGCACAAGUUCUGUCUUUCUCUUCCCUGCGCUGCCUCUUUAUUACCGAGAGUCAACACUUCCACAGUCCACAACCUCCUCAUCGCUGCUUGUGUCUCCAGCGUCGUGGGUGCCCUGCUGCUCCUGGUGUCACUGGCUUUACCACCUGGGGUACCAGGGUGGUGGGGCUUCUCCUGGGUCCAGGGUCUCUUGGCUUUGCUGUCUUGACUGAUAACUAUGGUGUGUGUUUGUGUGUCUAGGGCAAUACUGCCCAGUAGAAUUUUCUGCAAUAAUAAAAUGCUCUGUAUCUGUAUUCUUCAAUAAAGCGGUCAC